CACUUCUAAGGAAGGCAGCAGGCGCGCAAAUUACCCAAUCCUGACUCAGGGAGGUAGUGACAAGAAAUAACAAUAAACCGGCUUAUGCCGGUUUAAUUGGAAUGAGUACAAUUUAAACAUCUUAACGAGGAACAAUUGGAGGGCAAGUCUGGUGCCAGCAGCCGCGGUAAUUCCAGCUCCAAUAGCGUAUACUAAAGUUGUUGCAGUUAAAAAGCUCGUAGUUGGAUUUCUGUGGGGACGGAGCGGCCGGCCGCACAUCGCGGUUCGAGCUAGCGCUUUCCCUACAUCCUGCCGCGAACCGUGCUACCAUUAGUUUGGUGGCGCCGGGGAUCGGCUCGAUUACUUUGAGAAAAAUAGAGUGUUCAAAGCAGGCCACAUGCCUUGAAUAAGUUAGCAUGGAAUAAUAACUAAGGACUUCGGUUCUAUUUUGUUGGUGUUCGGGACUGAAGUAAUGAUUGAUAGGGACAGUUGGGGCGGUCUGUAUUCCAAAGCGAGAGGUGAAAUUCUUAGACCUUCGGAUGACAAACAGCUGCGAAAGCGUUCCGCAAGGAUGUUCCCUUUGAUCAAGAACGAAAGUUGGGGGAUCGAAGACGAUCAGAUACCGUCGUAGUCUCAACUAUAAACUAUACCAGCUAGGGAUCGGCCAACGUUAUUUUAUACCGACUUGGUCGGCACCUUAUGAGAAAUCAAAGCAUCUGGGUUCCGGGGGGAGUAUGGUCGCAAGGCUGAAACUUAAAGGAAUUGACGGAAGGGCACCACCAGCCGUGGAGCCUGUGGCUUAAUUUGACUCAACACGGGAAAACUUACCAGGUCCAGACAUAGUAAGGAUUGACAGAUUGAUAGCUCUUUCUUGAUUCUGUGGGUGGUGGUGCAUGGCCGUUCUUAGUUGGUGGAGUGAUUUGUCUGGUUAAUUCCGUUAACGAACGAGACCCCAGCCUGCUAAAUAGCGCGCGUGAGCUUUGCUCGCGGCGAGCUUCUUAGAGGGACUAUGAUGCGCGAUAGCACAUGGAAGUUUGGGGCAAUAACAGGUCUGUGAUGCCCUUAGAUGUUCUGGGCCGCACACGGGCUACACUGGCGCCUGCAACGAGCAUAUCAGCUGGCCCGAGAGGGUCUUGGCUAAUCUUUUGAACCGGCGCCGUGCUUGGGAUUGACCUUUGCAAUUGUUGGUCAUGCAACGAGGAAUGCCUUGUAAACGCGAGUCAUCAGCUCGCAUUGAAUACGUCCCUGCCCUUUGUACACACCGCCCGUCGCUCCUACCGAUGAAUGUUCCGAUGAAAUUUUCGGAGAGCACCUGUGAACUUGGCUCUGCCUUGCGAACGGGAGGCUCAAAGUCACUUAAAUCUGAACAUUUCG
rnacentral:rRNA from 1 species